rnacentral:rRNA from 1 species
AACGCGAAGAACCUUACCUGGGCUCGAAAUGUAGGUGGCGAUAACAGAGAUGUUAUUUUCCGCAAGGACACCUAUAUAGGUGCUGCAUGGCUGUCGUCAGCUCGUGCCGUGAGGUGUUGGGUUAAGUCCCGCAACGAGCGCAACCCUUAUCAUUAGUUGCCAACAUGAAAGAUGGGGACUCUAAUGAGACUGCCUAGGUUAACUAGGAGGAAGGUGAGGAUGACGUCAAGUCCGCAUGGCCUUUAUGUCCAGGGCUACACACGUGCUACAAUGGUCGGUACAGAGGGUAGCGAAACUGCAAAGUGGAGCAAAUCCCACAAAGCCGAUCUCAGUUCAGAUUGUGGUCUGCAACUCGACCACAUGAAGUUGGAAUUGCUAGUAAUGGCGUGUCAGCAAUAGCGCCGUGAAUACGUUCCCGGGCCUUGUACACACCGCAUAC